GCGUGAGUGAUGAAGGCCUUAGGGUUGUAAAGCUCUUUCGCCCACGACGAUGAUGACGGUAGUGGGAGAAGAAGCCCCGGCUAACUCCGUGCCAGCAGCCGCGGUAAUACGGAGGGGGCUAGCGUUGUUCGGAAUUACUGGGCGUAAAGCGCGCGUAGGCGGUCUCGCAAGUCAGGGGUGAAAGGCCUGGGCUUAACCCGGGAGUGGCCUUUGGGACUGCGAGGCUUGAGAGCGGGAGAGGAUGGUGGAAUUCCCAGUGUAGAGGUGAAAUUCGU
rnacentral:rRNA from 1 species